CAUAGCUGGGUGAUGUCAGGGCGGAAUGCCAUGACAUCACAGAUGUGAGGGGGCCCUGCAGCUGCUGUUUCUUGGCAACCACUUUUAUCAACAAGACACCAGUGUGGGGAGAGAGGGAAGGCAGUUCUGACCUAGGAGGUUUUUUCCUGCCUUCCCUACUCUCCUGUCCCAGGCAGGCAGAAAAAGGGGUCCCAGACAGAAAAAAUAUAUAGGAGAUAGCCCUCCCCCCCCCUGGGGGGGAUAGACAGGGAUUCCAAAGCUUAGUAGGAUUUAUUGUGAUAAAAUAAAAAGGGGGGUUGGGAAUCCAGGUACUGAGGAGAAGACCAAGACCAAGACUGUGAAGGUGAAAGGUCGCACCUUAGACCUGGCACAACAGAAGUCAAGGGCACACCUUUGGAGGACAAAGGAUUCUUGUGGUGAUUUCAAGCUGCUCGGGUUUACUCUGACAUCUUGGCUCCACCUGCUGAAGGCAAAGGGCAAGUUUUUGAAGCUUGACGAUGAGGGAUGGAUACUCUAUGGAGACUCAUAAUCAAGCACUCCCUGUUCAUCCAACUGUUGCCAAGACAACCGCCUACCACCUUUGCCACCACCACGAGCACCACCACACCAGUGGUGGCCCCUAUUAUACCAGCCACUGGGUUCCCGUUGACACUGUUCUUCUUCUGCAUCCUGUGAUUCAGAGGAAAAGAAGGGCUCCUAAUUUGCCACCAACCACAGGCUUUAGUUUCUUGUCAGUAUUCUUCUUAUUAUAAUAAAGUGUUAAAUGACCAAA